GGAAGUGAUUCCAGGACUGUCUUGGAGACAGCGAAGCCAGCUCACAUCUGAAGACAUCUCACAAGGCCCUGGCUGGGACUCCACCAGCUUUGAACACUGCUUCAAAGCCACUGCUGAGCCACCUGCUGUCCAGGAUACCUUUCAAACUAGCGCCUUCUUCCCGUGAGUAAGCCCACCCGGCAGAGCUAAGGAAAACUGCAGGAGAGGUUGAUGGGAAGCUUUGGAUCAAGGUGGACAGAGCAUCUGGACAUCUGGACAUGUUUUUGAAACUUCUGUCCUUCAUGGGCCAGAGUCGCUUCACCUGGUGCUAGGUUGGCAGGAACUCCACAUCAAAGAUCGUGCUAAGUCCAGGGCAGAUGCUGACAGAUUGGUGCCAAAAACCCGGGAUCUGGACACCCCUAUUUUUGGUCAACUUGGCUUCUGGACAAUCCC